rnacentral:tRNA from 1 species
CGCGGGAUGGAGCAGCAUGGUAGCUCGUCGGGCUCAUAACCCGGAGGUCGCAGGUUCAAAUCCUGCUCCCGCUACUA